AUGUUCCUCAUGGAUCCGGUUGGCAUCCGUUGGCCGCCUCAUCCGUGUUUCCAGCCACAAAGGCCACUUCACAAGGCAGGCUUUGUGCUUUGUUCCCUGCUGAGCGCCCAGAGGAUUGGUUGCCCAGUUUCUCUUGGGAAGGGAUAUAAAGGGAGGAGGUGGACACAGCUGGAGCUUCACUGGUCCUCCCUCGCCAUGAAGCCCUCAACCGUCUUCAUCGUCCUCCUCCUCGCUGUCCUGGCCUUCUCUGGUGAGGCAGCCCCUGACCGCAAGAGAGAGAAGCCCGGGAAUUGCCCAUUUCCAGAUGAAAACAUGAAGUUGUCCCAUUUCCUAUUUUGCAAAAAUGAUUUCCAGUGCCCUGGGAACGAGAAGUGUUGCUACGCGGCAUGCCUUCCUCCUGCUUAAGGGUGAGUGCGCUUCCCAUGCGCUGCAAGGCCGCCGGCCCAGGAAUCCUCACCGACCCUUAGAGGGAGAGUGUUGUGGUCAUCUCUGAGCGGUUAGACUCAACUUAACCCUCUCUGGGGGAGAUUCCACCAAAAAUCAGCAGAGUAGCAAAAGCAAUGCUUUCAAAUGCAGCAGUUACUUACACGGGGCGAGCAAGAGAAGCCUUUGACCAUUUAGGAUUGCAAUGGACUGCAGAGUCUCAGUAAAAGUUCAAAAAGUAUUUAUUCAGGUAGAAAGAACUCCAUUGUAGAUAGAAAGGCUUGGGAGCUGUCUAGUCUACUCUAGACUGGUUUCUAAGGAAAAAUAACAAACAUCUAAAGAGUUACAUCUUGCCAGGAGAGAUGGUGAGAUGCUUCUUGUUAGCUAGAAGAACAAAGGGAGAAGAGAGAACCACAAUGGUUCCAACCUCAUGGUCCAGUUUAUUGGGGCCAUAAAAGACAUUCUGACCAAUGAGAAGUUAGCGUCCCUAGAGAUUCACAUUUCUACUAACUUCAAAGUAAGGGAUGUGACGUACACAGGAUAGAGUGAAACACAGUGAAGCCCAUCUAGGCAUGCUUUGGAAACAGGGAAAGGAUUCCCUCAAUCUAACUCUAUCAUCUAUCUAACUACAUCUAGACUUGAAUGGUCCAGGGUGAUUCCCAACAGAGAGUGCUGAUGUCCUGAAUAUUUUUUAAACAAAGGUCCUUUUCAUUGCAAUUUACAGUGUGAUAGGGUAUACUUUUACAGAACUUUUACACAAAGAAUAACACUGCAGAUACAGACAUACAGAUCCUAUGUAACUACAUUGGAUUCACAAACUACAGUAGAGUCUCACUUAUCCAACACUCGCUUAUCCAACGUUCAGGAUUAUCCAAUGCAUUUUUGUAGUCAAUGUUUUCAAUAUAUCGUGAUAUUUUGGUGCUAAAUUCAUAAAUACAGUAAUUACUACAUAGCAUUAUUGCGUAAUGAACUACUUUUUCUGCCAAAUUUGUUGUCUAACAUGAUGUUUUGGUGCUUCAUUUGUAAAAUCAUAACCUAAUUUGAUGUUUAAUAGGCUUUUCCUUAAUCCCUCCUUAUUAUCCAACAUAUUCGCUUAUUCAACAUUCUGCCGGCCUGUUUAUGUUGGAUAAGUGAGACUCUACUGUAGUUUCAUUGGCUAAAAAACAGACAAAGGGGAUUAUAUAUUUUUACUCAGUAUUCACACACAUGUACAUGCGUUCAUCCUCAUGUAUUCAUCAUCAUUUCUCUGUUCUUCUGCCGUGAAGAGCACCUCUGAGGCCAGGCUGCUUCCUUGCAAAUCUGCCAACGCAGAAAAGCUUCUAGAACUUCUAAAACGCCAAAAUGCACACCCUUUCCUUAAGAACAAUGCCAAGGAUCAGAUCCCUGUUUCCUUUACAGCAGAAACUGACUCCCUGGAACUUAAAAUGACUCCGAAAUGCACUCCUUCCUCUUUCCUUGAGAAAAGGAGGCAAAGUGCAUCCUCUCUUCCCAUAGAGCAUGGCAGGUGGACCAGGCUCCUCCGGUCUGCCAAUUUUGGGAUUGUAAUAAGGUCUCUUGUAUAGUAAUAUUUCACUGAUGUUGCCCCAAAAAGCUGUAAAUUAAUGAUAGACGUCUUCCAUCCUGGAACAUGUUGAUUCCAUCUCAGUUUCCUGGCAGAUGUUGACUCUUCUUGACUGGUGUGAACAAACGCAAGCCUUGUGUUGACUUAAUGUAAGGAACCUUGUAAACAUUGUAAAUAUAGCAAAUAGGCUUGAGCGAUCCAUGAAAAAAUUGAUUCUAAACUCGUUUCAAAAGUAGGGGGCGCCAGCGUUUCGUUUCUGAUGUCAUUUCCGAAUUUUACCCCCCCAAAAAAUUCGAAAUUAACGAAAAUUCGUUAUUUUCUAAAUUAAUUCGUUAAUGGCGGAUGCGCAUGCGCAGUGGCAAAAAAAAAAAACAGCACGAGGGGAGAUUUUACAGGACUCUCCCGCCCUCAUUUUUUGAGUGAUCUUCUUCAAACUUGGUACAGUGGUAGAACACAUUUAACACUGAUAGCUCACCAAAAUUUGGAACGUUUCCCUUAUCCUCUGAUUUUUGGCGAAUUUUCAUAGGUUUUAAAAUAAACCAUUUUUUAAUAAUUGCAGAAAUCUGUUCCUGGUUUGAAAGUCUUAUUUCCUGUUAAAUUGGGUUGUCUUUACUGUGAAAGUCAUUGUUCUACUUCAGAAACUUUGUUUUUGUGGCUGAAACUUUGUUAAAUUGGUGUGUGUGUGAUAUAUACUGUGUGUGUAUGUGUAUAUAUAUAUAUAUAUAUAUAUAUAUAUAUAUAUAUAUAUAUAUAUAUAUAUAUAUAGUCCCUGCAUAUGUGUGUGUGUGUUUGUGUGUGUGUGUGUAUAGGUAAAGGUAAAGGUAUCCCUUGACGUUAAGUUCAGUCAUGUCUGACUCUGGGGGUUGGUGCUCAUCUCCAUUUCUAAGCCCAAGAGCCAGUGUUGUCCAUAGACACCUCCAAGGUCAUGUGGGCGGGAUGACUACAUGGAGUGCCAUUACCUUCUCCGCCACAGCGGUACCUAUUGAUCUACUCACAUUGGCAUGUUUUCAAGCUGCUAGGUUGGCAGAAGCUGGAGCUAACAGCGGGCACUCACUCUGCUCCCGGGAUUUGAACCUGGGACCUUUCGGUCUGCAAGUUCAGCAGCUCAGUGCUUUAACACACUUUGCCAUCGGGGCUCAUGUAUAUAUAAUAUACAUACACAUACACACAAUGUGGAGAAUAUGUGGAAAGGUAGAUAGAUAAGUUGGGAGCCACAGCGAAGGCACCUUCCUGGGAGCAAGGUCUAAUAAUAAUAAUAAUAAUAAUAAUAAUAAUAAUAAUAAAUCCCUUACAAUAUCCAAGAUGGCUCACUGCUACAGAAUCUUGGGAGGUUUAGUUUGAUAUGGUACCAUUAUUGGCAGAGAAAGCUAAGCUGUAGGAGUUGAAAUCCAAUCAUUUAUCCUCCCUAUAGAAUCAAUUUUAUAUGCAUUUUUAGCUACAGAAAAGCUAAAAUCAGGACAGUAAAAGAACAACACCCAGAAAAUGGGAAUUCCAGACAGGAAACAAUCAGGGCCAGCUAAUACCUCCCAACAAAGGAUUCCCCCAGGUAGGAAGCAGCCAGGCUUUGAAGCUGCAAGGCUAUUCAAUGCUAAUCAAGGUGACCAAUUGCAACAUUCACACUUGCCUCCCACAGACAAGAGUUCUUUCUCCCACCUUGGACCUUCCAUAGAUAUAUAAACCCCACUUGCCUAGCUUCGCACAGACGUGAAAACCUCUGAGUAUCAGGCCUGAGCUGAGGCGAGGCGGCGGCGGCCAUUUCCCCCUCCGUCUUCCUCCUCCUCCUCCUCGGCCUCCUUCCCCCUCGCCCCCUCCCAUUGGCUGAGCCCGUGACGCCCCUUUUGCUGAGGGGCAAAAGGAAAGGGCCUGAGGCUGUUAGGAAUGGUGGGAGUUUGGGUGAUUUGCAAAAGCUUUUUUUCCUUACGAAAAAAACGACGACAUAACAAAAAACGGCCUCUCGCGGUUCGAAACCGCGAUAUCCAGACGUGUGGACAAUCAAGGCCGUAUAUUGCUUCAAAAGAAACGAAAGUAACGAAUUAAUAACGGGUAACGGGGAAAUCGAAUUAUUUGAGCAAGCCUAAUAGCAAAUAUAGCAAAUGCAAGCCUUGUGUUGACUUAACGUAAAGAAUCUUGUAAACAUUUCCUUGACUUAAAAGAGCAAUUGUCUCUGAUUAAUGCAGACAGGUUGUUUUUCCCCAAAAGUUCAUCAAGUCAGCAGUGUCAACAGUUACAAACAGAUGUAAACAUUCCUCUUGCCACUCACAGUUCUUAUCACAGUUCAGCAAUUUUCAAUUACAGUCCAGAAAGCAGGCAGUUAGUCAUUGCAGGCCUUAAUCUUAGAACUGUGUCUUCAGCCAGAUCAGGUCCCAUCCAAACACUUUUCCUAC
ensembl:lncRNA